UGCGAAGGGGGCUAGCGUUGCUCGGAAUCACUGGGCGUAAAGGGUGCGUAGGCGGGUCUUUAAGUCAGGGGUGAAAUCCUGGAGCUCAACUCCAGAACUGCCUUUGAUACUGAGGAUCUUGAGUUCGGGAGAGGUGAGUGGAACUGCGAGUGUAGAGGUGAAAUUCGUAGAUAUUCGCAAGAACACCAGUGGCGAAGGCGGCUCACUGGCCCGAUACUGACGCUGAGGCACGAAAGCGUGGGGAGCAAACAGG
rnacentral:rRNA from 1 species